rnacentral:rRNA from 1 species
GACGAACGCUGGCGGCGUGCUUAACACAUGCAAGUCGAACGGAAAGGCCCUGCUUUUGUGGGGUGCUCGAGUGGCGAACGGGUGAGUAACACGUGAGUAACCUGCCCUUGACUUUGGGAUAACUUCAGGAAACUGGGGCUAAUACCGGAUAGGAGCUCCUGCUGCAUGGUGGGGGUUGGAAAGUUUCGGCGGUUGGGGAUGGACUCGCGGCUUAUCAGCUUGUUGGUGGGGUAGUGGCUUACCAAGGCUUUGACGGGUAGCCGGCCUGAGAGGGUGACCGGCCACAUUGGGACUGAGAUACGGCACAGACUCCUACGGGAGGCAGCAGUGGGGAAUAUUGCACAAUGGGCGGAAGCCUGAUGCAGCCACGCCGCGUGCGGGAUGACGGCCUUCGGUUUGUAAACCGCUUUCGCCUGUGACGAAGCGUGAGUGACGGUAAUGGGUAAAGAAGCACCGGCUAACUCCGUG